rnacentral:rRNA from 1 species
UACGGGAGGCAGCAGUGGGGAAUAUUGCACAAUGGGCGCAAGCCUGAUGCAGCCAUGCCGCGUGUAUGAAAAAGGCCUUCGGGUUGUAAAGUACUUUCAGUCGUGAGGAAGGUGUUAAGGUUAAUAACCUUAGCAAUUGACGUUAGCGACAGAAGAAGCACCGGCUAACUCCGUGCCAGCAGCCGCGGUAAUACGGAGGGUGCGAGCGUUAAUCGGAAUUACUGGGCGUAAAGGGCACGCAGGCGGUUAAUUAAGUUGGAUGUGAAAUCCCCGGGCUUAACCUGGGAAUGGCAUUCAAGACUGGUUAGCUAGAGUCUUGUAGAGGGGGUAGAAUUCCAUGUGUAGCGGUGAAAUGCGUAGAGAUGUGGAGGAAUACCGGUGGCGAAGGCGGCCCCUGGACAAAGACUGACGCUCAUGUGCGAAAGCGUGGGGAGC